rnacentral:rRNA from 1 species
AUUGAACGCUGGCGGCAUGCUUUACACAUGCAAGUCGAACGGCAGCGCGGGCUUCGGCCUGGCGGCGAGUGGCGAACGGGUGAGUAAUGCAUCGGAACGUGCCCAGCAGUGGGGGAUAGCCCGGCGAAAGCCGGAUUAAUACCGCAUACGACCUGAGGGUGAAAGCGGGGGACCGAAAGGCCUCGCGCUAUUGGAGCGGCCGAUGUCGGAUUAGCUAGUUGGUGGGGUAAAGGCUUACCAAGGCGACGAUCCGUAGCUGGCCUGAGAGGACGACCAGCCACACUGGGACUGAGCCACGGCCCAUACUCCUACGGGAGGCAGCAGUGGGGAAUUUUGGACAGUGGGGGCAAACCUGAUCCAGCCAUGCCGCGUGCGAGAAGAAGGCCUUCGGGUUGUAAACCGCUUUUGUUCGGGAAGAAAUCCUCUGGGCUAAUACCCCGGGGGGAUGACGGUACCGGAAGAAUAAGCACCGGCUAACUACGUG